GACAAAAGGUCAGACUUGAUGUUAUUCAGACUAAAGGGAACUUAUUAAAGAGGAACCAGAGAGUUACUUUGCCACCAUUUUAAAAUGACACCUCUGUCAGAGACCUCUCUUCAAGCAACAUUGGAGAGCCCACUCUGUCAUCCUAAUCGCAAUAAUUUCUGUCCCUCUAAGUAUCCUUAAACAGUUUUCUAGGAUUAUUUGUGCAGUUCCAGGGUGAAAAAUAGGAAUAAAAGUAUCAAAACUCUUUUGAAUUCUCCUUAUGUUAAGAUACUUCUAAACGCCGUGAGUAAGGAAUCUUCUUUUAUUUCAUAUAUUGGCAAUAUAAAAGAGGAGGCUGAGAAGAACACUAUCUUGGGACUUACAUACUUUUGUCACUUUAUGUCACAACAUUAAAUUUAUCUGAAUGAGGGGUGUUACGUGUUCAUGUCUGCCUAAAACAAAUGGGAAAAGGCAUGGAAGGAAGCAAAUUCUAAAGCAUUAGACAUUAUUAUAGCUAAUGAGUUCACUCUAUUAAACUAGGAAAUAUAAUCUAUUACAUUAGAAAAGAUAAACACAGCUGCCUUAUUUAAAAAAAAAAAAAAGAUUCUUUUACUUCACAUUAAUCAGUUAUAAAACUGAGCCAUGUUGCUUAAAGGUAGAUAGAAAUGUUUACUCCCCCUCAGAGUUUCCCUGAAGAAUUUCCUCCAAUGUUUUUGGCAGAGGAGAUAUAUAAACUCACAGUGGCAUGUAACAUGCUCUGGCAUAGUGAAUUCCAUGCUGUUGCAAUUCCUUGUGAAUGGCAUGAGGAAAUUUCAAUACACUGGCUCUGUUGUUAAGGCAGGAGAUACCUUUAGUUGCUGAAAACACAGCCCUGCAGUUUUACCCUCUCACUGAAGCAGUGUGUACAGCUGUUUUCUGGGCAGGGUGCUGUGUGAUGCUAUUCAUUGUAUGCAACAGUCUGUUAAAGGCCUACAGUGUUAGCAAUUCCUGACUUACAAUGUCUCCUUCUGUCUUUCCAUAUCAGGGAGCAAAGGGAAACACAGAAAGACAGGUCCCCUCUACUUUAACUCUUUUAACUCAAACAAACUGAAAGGGGUUACAUAAUCAUAUAGUCACCUUUAUUUCCAUCUCACAGAAAGGAAAGACAUCUGUUUCCUAGGGACUGUCUUUAUCCCCAGAUAAAAAAACUUUAAAAAAACCCAACAAAAACCAAUAAACAAAACCCCUACAAAACCCAAAAACAACACAAAACAAAAUAAACAAACCCCCUACCUUUGUUGCUGAGUACAUAACAGAGUGAAAGGCAGAACAAAAGCAUAAGGAAUGGAGCAUUGCUCAAGGUUAGAUUUUGUUGUCCUUCAUUUAAAGUCUGAAAGAAUAAACUCAGAAUUUGUCUGUGGGAUAAAAAAAUGCCAAGUAAAAAUUCUAAACUAACUACUACCUAUGCCAUUUUCCUUAUGGCUUGAUGUGACAUUACAUUGAAAAGAGGUACUGCUUUGAAUUCAUAUAAAGGAUACACAAAAAUAUUUUUCAUUUAAUUGUCUAUCAGCUUUUGCUUCAUUCUAUAUUUCAUAAUUUAUUUUCCUCUUAAGAAUAUUAUUUUCUUCGUAAGGAAGGCAAUUCAUUCUGUACCUGGACAAAUAAAAUUGCAUGUGUAUGUAUGUACUUGAGAUUUUAUAUUGCUAAAUGAGCCGUUGCACACUUUUCAAACAACUCAAUUAACAUAUUUUCUUUAUUAAAUUUACUUUUCUAAAAAUAAUUUUGCUUUAUAAAUCUGCCACCUGUACACAACUUGUUUAUGGUGAGGGAUUUCUACUUAAGCAAAAGGUGACUCUAAUAUUUCAUCCCUCAGUUUCAUCUCUCUCCUUGAUAAUUUUGGAUGAAAGAGCUAAUAAAAUCUCUCUACUCUUCAUUA